UGCAGUCGAGCGGUACAGGAAGCAGCGUUGCUGCUUCGCUGACGAGUGGCGGACGGGUGAGUAAUGUCUGGGAAACUGCCUGAUGGAGGGGGAUAACUACUGGAAACGGUAGCUAAUACCGCAUAACGUCACAAGACCAGAGAGGGGGACCUUCGGGCCUCUUGCCAUCACAUGUGCCCAGAUGGGAUUAGCUAGUAGGUGGGGUAACGGCUCACCUAGGCGACGAUCCCUACCUGGUCUGAGAGGAUGACCACCCACACUGGAACUGAGACACGGUCCAGACUCCUACGGGAGGCGGCAGUGGGGAAUAUUGCACAAUGGGCGCAAGCCUGAUGCGCCCAUGCCGCGUGUAUGAAGAAGGCCUUCGGGUUGUAAAGUACUUUCAGCGGGGAGGAAGGCGAUGUGGUUAAUAACCGCGUCGAUUGACGUUACCCGCAGAAGAAGCACCGGCUAACUCCGUGCCAGCAGCCGCGGUAAUACGGAGGGUGCAAGCGUUAAUCGGAAUUACUGGGCGUAAAGCGCACGCAGGCGGUCUGU
rnacentral:rRNA from 1 species